rnacentral:rRNA from 1 species
AUACGUAGGGGGCAAGCGUUAUCCGGAUUUACUGGGUGUAAAGGGAGCGUAGACGGCUAUAUAAGUCAGAUGUGAAAGCCCAGGGCUCAACCCUGGGACUGCAUUUGAAACUAUGUAGCUAGAGUGCAGGAGAGGUAAGUGGAAUUCCUAGUGUAGCGGUGAAAUGCGUAGAUAUUAGGAGGAACACCAGUGGCGAAGGCGGCUUACUGGACUGUAACUGACGUUGAGGCUCGAAAGCGUGGGGAGCAAACAGGAUUAGAUACCCUGGUAGUCCACGCUGUAAACGAUGAAUACUAGGUGUCGGGGACCUUCCGGUCUUCGGUGCCGACGCUAACGCAUUAAGUAUUCCACCUGGGGAGUACGUUCGCAAGAAUGAA